AAAAAGUUCAGCCAAAUGCAUUGUGGUUGUGGAUGCUCGUAGUGACGGCAGCUGUUGAAACACUAACAGAACAGGUUUCAACCUCUUUAUACGGUUUCAACGAGCGUGAGGCCACACACACGGGACGGAGCAGAGCAGAGACAGGUUUCAACCUCUGUAUACGGGUUCAACGAGCGCGAGGCCACACACACACACCUGGG